rnacentral:rRNA from 1 species
UACGUAGGGUGCAAGCGUUGCCCGGAUUUAUUGGGCGUAAAGGGCGCGUAGGCGGCUCUGCACGUUCGUUGUGAAAUCGCCCGGCUCAACUGGGCGGGGUCAGCGGAUACGGCAGAGCUUGAGCAAGCUAGGGGGCAAUGGAAUUCCCGGUGUAGUGGUGGAAUGCGUAGAUAUCGGGAGGAACACCUGUGGCGAAAGCGGCGCACUGGACCACAACUGACGCUGAGGCGCGAAAAGCUAGGGGAGCAAACAGG